UCCUCCGUGGCGCAAUUGGCUAGCGCGUUCGACUGUUAAUCGAGAGGUUGACAGUUCAAGCCUGUCCGGGGGAG